CCCUAUCCCCUCCCACUCCAUCGUCGCCACUCCAUCCUCUCCCGCUCGCGCAUGCUCACUGCCACCACGUCCGCCCUGCACCCGCACUCAGGGCACAGCGGCCUUCUCCCCGCUCGCAGCCCUCCUCGCCUCAUCCAAGGCCGCCUCCUCAUUCUACUCCGACGAUGACGGCGGGAUAGUCCAGCGGGGCCCGACACGGGCCUCGUCUGUCCCGACCCCCGCCAUCGCCCCGGCCAGGGCCACCUCCGCGCUGGUCCCGGCAGACGAGCGGGGCUCCCUCUUCGCCACAGAACCCGGGCCGUCCGAGUUCGCGUCCUCCUCGUCGCCAUUCGCGGCGGCCAGGGGAUCUCCACGGCGUCCUCGUCAUCUGCAGCGGCCAGGGGAUCUCCGCGGUGUCCUUGUCGUCGUCCACGGACCCCACCCCUGCCGAGCAUGAGAUCUCCCGAGCAGGCCCUCCCACCGGCCGUCACCGGGCCAUCUCCACCGCGCCACCGUCCCUCCACCGACAGACACGUCUCUCUCUCUCUCUCUAACCGGCCGUGUUCUCUGCACCAGGUUCAGCUCCUCCGGCGGCAAGGUGCUCGGCGAGGAGAAGGACGCAGGAACUUGACCUAGAAGCAAGGUGCUCAGCUCCUCCAGCGACGACCAGGCCGAUUUGUUCUCUGUUCCCCUCCCCGCCUCCCUCCACCCAUCUGUUGUACAUUCACAUGUGCUUGUGGAGGAGGCCAAGGCGCUGUAAGACAAGGCCAUCUUCAAGGUGCUCGAUCUGGUAUGAUCUUUUAACCUCGGAAGGUUGAACCUCUCACUGGCGACGGCCGUCAUCGGUGAGCUGCUAGUUGCCUCGGCCUCCCGCGGCAUCUCCGACCACCCCUACUCUUCUGACAAGCACAGGCUGCAGCUCCUAGAGAGGGUGCACGAAUGCCACUUCUUCCACCAGCGACCCUCCCCUCUGCGCCCAGCCUGUGGAACACUUCGACGCCAUCUUUGGAGCCGCCAAUGUCUUACUGCAGAUGACUGAUGAGCUGAUCUUCUUCCACUAGUGGUAGCGGGAGGUGAUGCUGGAGCAGUACAUCGAUCAGCAGAUCAUCCUGCCAUUUGGGCAGGGAGAUGCUGGGAUAGCCCUAAUGCAGUAACAUCACCAUGUGGCAAAUCCAGUAGAUUGACACAACAUUGGUGCUUGGGUGAUGGGACAAAGUAUGUGUACUAGUGAUGGUACACGAUAUUCGUGCUUCUCAUUGAUGUUAUGUGUGAUCAGCUAAAAUUGGUGCUUCUUGUCCAAUCUAUGUUGAUGUGCAUCUAUGUUGAUGUGCGCUUGUGCACUUGUUGGGCCUUGAACCUUGCUGUGUAGACGAGUCGAUUGAUGAUGUAUUGUAUUUCAUGUGAUGUGUUACUAAAAUAAAAUAUAUGAAAUAUUGUAUUAUGUUGUA